UGCGCGCAGCGUGACAUGGAAAAAUAAUCUUGAACAGCUGUAGCAACCAUUCUUAUUAUGCCUCAGUGGUAGCUACCAAAAAAUACUAGUAACUGUCUGCGGCUGUAUUGUAGCCAUCUGGAGGUUCUGUACAGGGAGUCGGAGGACGCGAAAUAGCUAGCUCGUGCCGCUAACUGUCACAAUGUCCCUGCAAAGGUGUCAAACUGAUUGGGAAGAAAUUGACCAAGAAUAUCAACAAUUACAGGAAACUCACAAAGUGUACAGACAGAAGCUCGAUGAGCUCACCAACCUCCAGGCAACAUGCAGCAGUGCCAUUAGUAAACAGCGGAAGGGUCUAAAAGACCUCGGGCACAGUCUGUGCAAGUGCACAAAAACAAGUGAUGAGAAAGAAACGGAACUGAUCAAAGACAUCCAAAUACAAAUUAAAGACAAAGAGAACUUCUUCUUUGAUAUGGAAGCCUAUUUGCCAAAGAAGAAUGGAUUGUACUUAAAUUUGGUGCUUGGCAAUGUGAAUGUAACACUUCUCAGCAACCAGGCAAAAUUUGCCUAUAAAGAUGAAUAUGAGAAGUUCAAGCUUUUUAUGACAAUAAUCUUGAUGUUUGGGGCCAUAACCUGUCUCUUUUUGCUCAAUUACCGUGUCACAGAUGAAAUCUUCAACUUCUUGCUGGUUUGGUACUACUGCACUUUGACCAUAAGGGAAAGCAUCCUCAUGAGCAAUGGGUCCCGGAUCAAAGGGUGGUGGGUCUCCCAUCAUUAUGUCUCUACCUUCCUAUCAGGUGUAAUGCUUACCUGGCCAGAGGGGUCCAUGUAUCAGAUGUUUAGAAGUCAAUUCCUUGCAUUCUCCAUUUACCAGAGCUUUGUGCAUUUUCUUCAAUAUUACUACCAAAGUGGCUGCUUAUACCGGUUACGAGCUUUGGGGGAGAGAAAUCAGUUGGACCUCACAGUGGAGGGGUUUCAGUCAUGGAUGUGGAGAGGGCUCACCUUCCUCUUGCCAUUUCUCUUUUUCGGCCAUGUAAGUCAAACACCAGACCACCACGCAGCUCCUAAAUAUGGGUUUAGUUCAGAGGUUGUUUACAUUUAUUCCACCUUUCUACUACUUUCAACUCAAGACAUUGACGUAUCAGGCUUAAUAUCUUUUCUCAACAGUGAUGAACUUAAACACAAUUGUAUUAAUUGGUCAUCCAGGGAUGAGGUCGGGUUAGUCUGGGUGUGUGCCAGUGUGUUUCACACAGACUGGGAUGAGAGUGGGGUGGGGAGACGGUCAACUGAAAGUAAGAGGUUAUUGCAAAAUCUGUCACUGUUGUAAAUAAAGUCUUGCCCAACAUGAUUGCAAGGCUUUAAUUUUGUUCCUUAUUCCAGUGAAUAAGAUGGUUAUUUCUGCUGUUUAUACAUUUACAUGUACGCACUCCAGGGUAAGCUUCCAUGCUCGUGUGCUUGAAUAAGGUUUCAGGUCUUGGACUGAGCUUUUCUCUCUCUUUCUCCAAUCCCCUUCACAGUUCUGGCAGCUGUACAAUGCUAUGACUCUGUUUCGGUUGGCAGGACAUGAAGACUGUAAAGAGUGGCAGGUAUUUAUGUUGGCACUGACAUUUCUUGUCCUAUUCCUGGGGAAUUUUCUCACCACAUUAAAAGUUGUUCAUCAAAAGAUCCAGGAAAAUCCAGAAAAGGUGCAAAAGCAGGAGUGAGCGAGUCUGACUACAGCUCAGAACUCCAAGUGGCCAGUAACCAAUAAGCAAAAGGGCACUUUGACACGCACAGCCGAUGGAAAGAUGGACGGCAGAGGGUUUGUGCCAGGAAAAGACAGAGCAGAGAGACCAAUGUGUCUCGGACCGUGAUGACAGCUGCAACAUUAACCAAUAAUCUUGGCUGAGUGUGCUUUUGUUUCCGAUAACCUGUCAAUGUCCUUGCUACACAUGCAAUCACAACACAGAGCAGCUUUCGUCUGGCAGAUGAACCACUGCGAUCCUGGACCAUUUGAGGCUUGAUCCUUUUAGAUUUAGUGAGUGGACAGACUAAUUAUGGUGUUGAUGUUUUUAGGUCGGAGCAUGAACUACAUGUACAGAGAGCCACUCUUCAAACUAUAUGCAACUCAACAAAGACAAGUAGCAUUAGGUCAGGGUUUCCCAAACUCGGUCCUGGGCCCCUCCAGGUGCACGUUUGAGUGUUUGCCCUAGAAUUACACAACUAAAUCAAAUAAUCAAAGCUUGAUGAUGAUGAUGAUGGUGAUUAGUUGGGUAUUUGAGUCAACUGUAGUGCUAGGACAAAAACAAACGUGUACCCAGGGGGGGGCCCAUGACUGAGUUUGAGAAACCCUGCAUUAGGUCAUGAGAAAAGGUGAGUUUACCUACAAAGUAUAUGUACUGUGUGGUCAUGUCACUACUUCACCUAACUGUUAUCGGUAUGGCAUAUUCGAAUACGUCCAGGGCACAGCCAUUUUUUCACUGUUAUUUGUAACUACAAGUGUCUGUCGUUUUGAUGUUUUUCAGUAAAGAUGCAUUGAACUAUAUAUUUCUCCCCGGUGUGCUGUUGAAAGUUAACCCAUUUGCUUAUUUCUGGAUAGUGACAUGUCUAUAUUAUAUAAACUAAAGCCUGCUUCUUCUUUCAGCAAGGUACCAGCCAGGACAUAACUGAUCAUAGACAUUUACACAUUUUAACAGCAGCAGUUUACUACCAUUGUUUGGGUUGAUUUGGCAACUAUAAAUUACACAGGCAUUCAAUUUUUAAAUGAUGCGUAUACUAAUGAUACUGACCAGGUUUGAUUAUACAAGGGUUUCUCUUCUGUAGUUGUCUGCACCUUGCUUAGCUGAGUGCCUGGUGGUGUAACAUUUAAGACACAGUGGAUUCGGCAUAGAGACAAAAGUCCAUAUUUUUUAAAUCCUGUAAUCUGGUUCAAAAUGAAAACCCUUUCAAUUCAUUAUUAUUUGAGAGACUUGUCCAAAUCAGGUUGUGCAAGACGAUGCUGGUUGUUUGAGUUCACCUUGAUCACAAUAUGCUGUUAAGGUCCACAACAAACAAUUGCUGCUAUGAGCACUGGUACUGUGAACAAAUGAUUGGCAAUAAUGUCUUGAGCACGAAUGUGCUGGAGUGAUCAAGUGUAUAUUACUCUGCUGACAUACAUGGUAUGUAUAGUAACGCGUCCACUCUGAACUAUGUACAAUUCUCAAGAGUUUUUGUACCCAUUUUCAGCAUUUAAUUUUUUACUGUUAUUAGAUGUGCAUUUGAACAAAGUCCCAACUUUUAUUACUUAGUGACAGGGCUUUCUAAAUGCCUUAUCUCUCACUGUAGCCUGUCACAAUUGCGUGAUGUAUGUUUUUGUUCCAUUUGGAAUCAAGUGUUAUGUUAUUGGGGAAAAUGUAAGGUCUUGGACUUUUAGUCCUGUUUUCAUUUUAAAAAAAAUCUAUUGUACUCUCGAAGGGAACCACUAUUUUUGUUACACUUGUAGGAAAAAGCUAAAGCAUGUUAUUGAAUUUAACAGUUUGGUCUAAUGAUCAUCUGUCAAAUCUGCCACAAUGCAGUACACAACAGAUCCUAUUUCCUCAUGUAUUGUUAGUUUGGUUUAAUGUUCAUGUCAUGGAUUGUCCUGUCAUAAGACUAACUUGUGCCUGAACGUACACCUGUAACAAGAGACACUGGACAAAAUCAUUUAAUUUAUGCUGUCUCUUACUGCUUUUUCACACUGUAUACAUGGCUGUAAGACAUAAAACAUCUGAUUCAAA